UCUGAAAUUCUCCAAUAAAUCUCAUUUUCAAAACACCGUCCAGGGAUGGUAAUGUGGGAGGCAUGAGUAAUUUAAAGCCGAGGAACAGACCCAAAAGGGGCAACAGGAAUUUAAAACCAGGAAUCUGCAAAUCGCAACUCUAACAAGACUACAAAACAAAAGAAAAUGAUAUGGAAUUGAGGUGUGACAAGAACUUACCAGUCAAAACUGGUAUCUUUCUUUUUUUACUUCACAGUUUUUGCAUAGACAGUGGUUCUGAUUAAAAUCUAUGAUGAAAAAAAAAAUAAAAAAAAAAUAAAAUCUAUGAUGAGGCAAAUGAAAAUAUGAA